rnacentral:rRNA from 1 species
GAGUUUGAUCUUGGCUCAGAUUGAACGCUGGUGGCAUGCCUUACACAUGCAAGUCGAACGGCAGCAUGAUCUAGCUUGCUAGAUUGAUGGCGAGUGGGCGAACGGGUGAGUAAUACAUCGGAACGUGCCCUGUAGUGGGGGAUAACUAGUCGAAAGAUUAGCUAAUACCGCAUACGACCUGAGGGUGAAAGUGGGGGACCGCAAGGCCUCAUGCUAUAGGAGCGGCCGAUGUCUGAUUAGCUAGUUGGUGGGGUAAAGGCCCACCAAGGCGACGAUCAGUAGCUGGUCUGAGAGGACGAUCAGCCACACUGGGACUGAGACACGGCCCAGACUCCUACGGGAGGCAGCAGUGGGGAAUUUGGACAAUGGGCGAAAGCCUGAUCCAGCAAUGCCGCGUGUGUGAAGAAGGCCUUCGGUUGU